CAAGUAUCAAUAAGACAGUGCUGGGCAACAGCAAGCGUUGCUUCAAUUCAGCAACUGGCAAAUAAAGGCUGGAUGAAAUGACAUGGCUGUGCAAAGUGUGGCUCUUCCAAUCUGCUCUGAGUUUGGUCUAAGACCUCUUUAAUUAUGAAAGGAACAUGAGAAGCACGAACCAGAAAACGAUGAAAUCGUUUUUCUACAAGAGGUUGGGGAAAUUGAGUAGAAGGAACACAGGAAGCAGUGAUGCAUUUCUGGUCAUGCCUUUUGUAUUGUUUGACCUCUGAUAUGCAGUGUUCUACAUAUUCAAAUAUAAAAUUAAAGCAGUAAGAAUACAAAGAAAGUGCUACAACUGAAAGCAAGCUGAAACACGUGAAACUAAUUUGAUUUCAAAUGAAUACUACAGCCACACUUAAGGAAAGAAGGGAGACAGGGAGAGAGGGUUGGGAAGGACCAACCAAUCUAAAUAAUUUAUAAAACACGCUCAGUCUUGGUGUAGAUGGGGAGGGAGACUGCAAACAAAUCCCAAACUCUUCUUCGUACAUUGUUUAUUAUAAUGUCAUAGGCAAAGCAAUUUUGAAACGCUUAGAUGUACUAAAGUGUUUAAAUGUACAAAUGAAUAAAGGUGUGGACACUGUUGGAAA